rnacentral:tRNA from 1 species
UUGGAAGAAGCCAAAAAGAGGCGUAUCACUGUUAAUGAUAGAAGUGAAACUUUUUUCCUUUCAAG